CCUACGGGAGGCAGCAGUGAGGAAUAUUGGUCAAUGGGCGGAAGCCUGAACCAGCCAAGUAGCGUGCGGGAUGAAGGCCCUACGGGUCGUAAACCGCUUUUGCACGGGGAUAACACCCUCCACUUGUGGAGGUCUGCAGGUACCUUGCGAAUAAGGGCCGGCUAAUUCCGUGCCAGCAGCCGCGGUAAUACGGAAGGCCCGAGCGUUAUCCGGUUUCAUUGGGCUUAAAGGGAGCGUAGGCGGGCGUUCAAGUCAGCUGUAAAAGCGCGCGGCUCAACCGCGACCCGCAGUGGAAACUGGACGCCUUGAGUUCACAACAGGCAGGCGGAAUUCGUGGUGUAGCGGUGAAAUGCAUAGAUAUCACGAGGAACCCCGAUUGCGAAGGCAGCCUGCCGGGGUGCGACUGACGCUGAGGCUCGAAGGUGCGGGUAUCAAACAGGAUUAGAUACCCGGGUAGUC
rnacentral:rRNA from 1 species